rnacentral:rRNA from 1 species
AUUGAACGCUGGCGGCGUGCUUAACACAUGCAAGUCGAUCGGUAACGCGGGGGCAACCCUGGCGACGAGAGGCGGACGGGUGAGGAACGCUUGGGAAUCUGCCUAUCAGCGGGGGACAACACGGGGAAACUCGUGCUAAUACCGCAUACGCUCUACGGAGGAAAGCCGGGGACCGCAAGGCCUGGCACUGAUAGAUGAGCCCAAGCCGGAUUAGCUAGUUGGCGGGGUAACGGCCCACCAAGGCGACGAUCCGUAGCUGGUCUGAGAGGACGAUCAGCCACACUGGGACUGAGACACGGCCCAGACUCCUACGGGAGGCAGCAGUGGGGAAUACUGGACAAUGGGGGAAACCCUGAUCCAGCGACGCCGCGUGGGUGAAGAAGGCCUGCGGGUUGUAAAGCCCUUUCGGUAGGGACGAAAGCUCUCGACCUAACACGUCGGGAGGUUGACUUAACCUACAAAAGAAGCACCGGCUAACUCUGUGCCAGCAGCCGCAGUAA